GAGGGUAUAGCUCAGUGGGAGAGCGCAUGCUCUCCAUGCAUGAGGUCCUGGGUUCAAGCCCCAGUACCACCA
rnacentral:tRNA from 1 species